CCCAAACCCUACCAAGUGAAGACGGCGCAAGUUCCACAAAUGGCAGAGGAGGGAAGUGCGACGAUGUGUGCGGAAGAAUUGCAGAACGGGCUUGAAUUUCUGCUAGAUCCAGUCGACAGAUUUCCGCUGAAUGAGGUCACCGCCGACGUUGAGCGGCCAGAUCCGCUGGUGCUGGUGGACGUCCGGCGGUCGGCGAGCAACUGCCGACUCAUCUUCCGCAAGUGUAUUUGGUCAUAUCGGCGCUUCAACUCACCAUGUCAGAUCCCCUUGCAAGAGGCCGCUCUCACCAACGAAAUAUGCUGAGUCCACUGGGAAGGUUAACCCAGAGGCACCAGGGCGGACGAGGAGGCUUCGAAUUGGGCGCGCUCCCCUUGAUAGAGUUCCGUGUGCUGGUAGAGUAACUCCAUUGGAAGAAACCAUAAGGAGAUAUGCCGACAAACCUACAGAAAGUGUAGUAAAGCCGCAGAUUGGGAUGAGUUUUGAUUCCCUUGGGGAAGCUUAUGAUUUUUAUAAUCUAUAUUCGUGGGAGCUUGGAUUUGGUAUACGAUAUGGCAAGAGUCGUCUCAAUGUUGAGAGGACUAAAUGUAUGCAAGAGAUUGUUUGUGGAUGCUCGGGGAAACUUGAGCAGCAGAAUAGCAGAUCUUGCCGUUGCGAGUGCCCUGCGAUGGUGAGGUUACUAAGAGCUGCAGACAAUGGAUGGUACAUUGCUGAGCACCGGGCAAGCCACAAUCAUUCGCUAUCUCUUACAUGCGGGGAAAAGGUUCACUGGCCAUCCCACAAACACACAGAUGUGUACACAAAGGAUCUCGUGAAACAGCUUAGGGAAAACAAUCUGAACCUCAACAAGGUGUAUAGCAUAGUUGGGAGCUUCUUCGGAUCAACACAGAGCGUGCCUUUUACAAAAAGGUCAUUGCGCAAUCUGUGCGGGAGAAUAAGCAGAGACCAAGCUGAUGAUGAUGUCAACAAAACCCUUGCCGUCUUCAAAGAGAUUCAGCAGAACGACCCGGAAUUCACAUAUAGGGUCUAGGGUGACGAGGAAAGCAGAAUAAAAAACCUUAUGUGGACAAAUGGAAACAUCAAGCUGCAGUACAAGUUCUUUGGCGAUGUUGUCACAUUCGAUACAACAUACCGGACAAACUUGUAUGACAUGCCAUUUGGUUUGUUCGUGGGAGUGAACAAUCACUUCCAAAGCAUAAUACUAGCUGGAGUGCUGAUGCGCGAUGAACAAGUAGAGAGCUUCCAAUGGGUAUUUUCUGAGUUCAUCAACAUGAUGGGCGGGAAACACCCGCAGACAAUAUUGACAGACCAAGCACGAGCCAUGGAGAUAGCAAUCCAAAGCGAGCUCCCUAAUACUGUCCACAGGUGGUGCAAGUGGCAUGUGCUUAAAAAGGCAAAAGAAAGCCUUGGCCCUCUGUACACAAGCAAGAGCGAGUUCAGGGCUGAGUUCCACAAAGUGGUGAAUCACAUGAUAAGCGUGGAGGAAUUUGAGAUGGCAUGGGGUUCACUUGUAGAGAAAUAUAAUCUGAAAUCCCACAAUUACAUGACAAACCUGUACGAGAUACGACACAAGUGGGCUAAGCCAUACUUCAAGGGAGUGUUCUGUGCAAAAAUGACCAGCACUCAGCGUAGCGAGAGCGCCAACAACAUGCUUAAGAUUUACAUGCCGCCAGCUAGCCCAAUGCAUGUAUUCGUGCGUCAGUACAUGAGGCUUCAAUUCGACCGUGAAUCAGAUGAAAGCUACCAGGAAAAAAGAACAAGGAUUAGUGGUGCUGUCAUGAGGACAAACAUUGCUAUCGAAAGGCACGCAAGUAAGGUUUAUACACGAAAGAUGUUUGAAAUAUUUGGUGAAAAUCUGUAUGAGGGUGGAUCUUACCAAGUUGAAGAAGUGGAGAGGAAAAAGAAAUACAUUGCAAGGCACAAUGACGCCGAAAAACGGGAAAGGUGGAGCAAGGUUGAAUAUGUGGUGACCAUAUCCGACGAUGGGGAGUGGUUUGAUUGUGAAUGCGGGCAGUAUGCACACAUGGGGAUGCUUUGUUGCCAUGCAUUAAAGGUGAUGGACCACAUUGGCGUGCAGGAGAUACCUAAACGGCACAUUCUAAAAAGGUGGACAAAAGAUGCUAGGGACAUAUUGCCACAACACAUUGCUCACUUCCAGAAAGAUCAAGCUGCUAAUCAGUCCUUAACCUGUCGGAGUUCGACUCUGUACCUGCAUGCUAUGGAACUCGUGAGGAUUGGAGACUCGUCGGUAGCUGCCUACGAGCUAGUACUAACAAAGGUAAAAGACCUGAUCGUUGAGGCAUCUCCGUUAGCUGAAAACAGAGAUGGUCUUGGAAUUGAGGAUAGGAUAGUUGCAGAAGCAAGCAAAAAGAAAAAUGGCUCAGUAAUGGCGGUGGGAAGCAUCGAUCCGGAGGUGGCCGCAAAUGAGAACAGCGUAACCGCAUCUGGCAACUGGGAUGCGCUCGCUGUACUGUCAGCUGCAGCAAAAAAACGAGGUGUAGGUAGACCAUGCUCAAGCAGAGAGAAAGCACCGUAUGAAGGCCUGAGCAAGAGGACGAGAUUCUGCAGUAUAUGUAAGCUUCCAGGGCACAAGAGGACUACAUGUCCAGAUCGCGGUGAUGUUCCUAAACAACCUCGCAAGCCUGCCACUUGCAAGAAUUGCGGUGUCACAGGGCACCGGCGCACCUCGUGCACUAGGCCGCUCGUGCCCAACGCAUGAUACAAUUUACGUUGCAACCAUGUAGACGUAGAGUACUGGUGGAUUUUUCCAACUGUGUUGCAUUUUUAUGAAUUUCCAUAUUUGCUUGUACUGACUGUAACCUCUGUUCUGAAUAAUCUGUUAUGUUUGAACCGAGACCUAUGUAGAAAUCCACAAGGACUGUACGGUCCUUCAUUGUGAAAUGGCUAGAUAGAUGUUGG
rnacentral:rRNA from 1 species